rnacentral:rRNA from 1 species
ACCCGCUGAAUUUAAGCAUAUAAGUAAGUGGUGGAAAUUAAACCAAAUGGGAUUCCUUAAGUAAUUGCGAAUGAACAAGGACAUGCUUAGCUUGACAAUUGGAGCCUCUGGCUUCGACUUGUAUUUUUGAAAUGUAUUACCAACAGAGGUGCAGGUGUCAGCCUAUUGAAAGAAAGCGUCAAUGAGGGUGAGAAUCCUGUUUGUCAUGUGCAAUCCUCUGUGCACGGUGUAUGUUUGCUGAGUCACACUCCUUGGCAUUGGAAUGCAAAGUGGGUGGUAAGUUUCAUGUAAAGGUAAAUAUAGGAUUGAGACUGAUAGCACACAAGUACCAUGAGGGAAAUAUGAAAAGGACUUUGAAAAGAGAAUUAAAUGAGUUUGUAUUUGCUGAACAGAAAAUAAACAGAUUUGAUGUUGCUUGGUGAGAUUGUGGUGCUUGCUUGACAAUAGGUUUUGAUUGUGGGUGUGAUGAUUCUUGCUUUGCUUGCCAGUUUCUAUUUGUACAUUUGAUUACCCUUGCACAUGAAUGGUAAUUUUCCUGCGGGGUUUGGAUUGCAUGUGUUUGUGAUGAUUUGUGUUUUGAUACAUGUGUCUGGUGCUUUUGUAAUUGCUCAUUUCUUGAAGCUGGGCCUACCCUACUAGAGCUUACAAGCCCUGGCACACAAUUGCUGGCAAAAUGCUUCUGCUUGACCCGUCUUGAAACACGGUCCAAGG